CACGUAGGCACCAAGCGUUGUCCGGAUUUACUGGCGUAAAGGGCUCGUAGGCGGCCAACUAAGUCAGACGUGAAAUCCCUCGGCUUAACCGGGAACUGCGUCUGAUACUGGAUGGCUUGAGAUUGGGAGAGGGAUGGCGGAAUUCCAGGUGUAGCGGUGAAAUGCGUAGAUAUCUGGAGGAACACCGGUGGCGAAGGCGGCAUCCUGGACCAACACUGACGCUGAGGAGCGAAGCCAGGGGAGCAAACGGG
rnacentral:rRNA from 1 species